rnacentral:rRNA from 1 species
CCUACGGGGGGCUGCAGUGGGGAAUAUUGGACAAUGGGGGGAACCCUGAUCCAGCCAUGCCGCGUGUGUGAAGAAGGCCCUCGGGUUGUAAAGCACUUUCAGUGAGGAAGAACGCCUGGUGGUUAAUACCCAUCAGGAAAGACAUCACUCACAGAAGAAGCACCGGCUAACUCCGUGCCAGCAGCCGCGGUAAUACAGAGGGUGCGAGCGUUAAUCGGAAUUACUGGGCGUAAAGCGCGCGUAGGUGGCUUGAUAAGCCGGUUGUGAAAGCCCCGGGCUCAACCUGGGAACGGCAUCCGGAACUGUCAAGCUAGAGUGCAGGAGAGGAAGGUAGAAUUCCCGGUGUAGCGGUGAAAUGCGUAGAGAUCGGGAGGAAUACCAGUGGCGAAGGCGGCCUUCUGGACUGACACUGACACUGAGGUGCGAAAGCGUGGGUAGCAAACAGGAUUAGAUACCCCAGUAGUC